AUGAUGAUGACGAUGAUGAUGAUGAUGAUGAUGACGAUCAUGAAGAGUUAUGAGCACUCUGGGAAAAUUGAAAUGGCCCAUCUGAAGUCCAUCUGUCCGAAGUCCUUCGUACAGUACGCUAGAUAUGAACUUGGGGACAGCAGGAGCGUUGAUUUGAGAGAGAGAGAGAGACAGAACCAAAAACCAAUUCCACACAAGCCAAGCCCGACUUGGAAUCAGUCAUUGGGGUCAUUAGUCUGAGAUUUUUUGAUUUGUGCUUCAUUUGAAAACAGGGUUCCUCCACUGGGAUCUUCCUUUCUCUUUUGUUUUGGAUCAGACUGACAUGUGUUUGUGUCUUUAUGUGAACCUGCAGAGAAAGAAAGAGAGACAGUGAUAUUGGGAGUGAGUUGGAAUAUGGGGGGAGGGAGGGGGGGCUGCUAGAGACAAGAGAAGGGGGAGAAUAAAGCGCGAGGGAGGUGCAGGAGGGCCACCAACUAAAUUCAUUCAUAAAUAAAAGCUUUGAUUACCAUCAGAUUUUUAAAGUUUCUCUCUUUCCCCAUGUCGCUCAGUCUCUUUCUUUCUCUGUGGAACAUUUAUGCCGCUCACUGUUAAGGAGGCAUGUGAUGCACUGAAAUUUAUUUUCAAGUCUGGCGUGUGCACUUGUAAAACUGGAUAUUUAUCAGUUAUGUACACUGUAUCAUCAUACCUCAUUGAGUUUCUACAGUGUUAAUGUUAGCCAUUAGUGGAUGUUUAAACUGCCUUUCAAUGCACAUUUCAGUAACUUUAAUAAUGGGUGUUUUUUAGCUUAACGCACCGAUCCCCUUUCUAUUGAGUGUUAAUAUGACAUCAGAUGAUCAUAAAAAGGUUAUGUUUUUAUUUGUUAUGAAAUGUUACCUCGGUGAAUUUUUCAGAUCAUUUUUAGAGCUUUAAAGAAAGACUGUUUGGGAAAAGAGAGAAACAUCUCUUUUUUAUUAGUAGUAUUAUUAAAUUAAAUUGUUGAGAUGAAAUGGGUUGUCUGCUUUUUCUCUCCUUAUUUGGCAAAAACUGUGAUUUUUGAACUACAGUGUGGAAAAUGUGACUGUCAAUGUAUCUUUAACCCUGAUUUCAUUCAUUAAAUUUAUCAAUUGAUCACAAA